rnacentral:SRP_RNA from 1 species
GCUGGCGCAGUGCCACGUGCCUGUAGUCGCAGCUACUCGGGAGGCUGAGGCAGGAGGAUUGCUCAAGGCCAGGAGUUCUGGGGUGCAGUGCACUAUGCUGAUCGGGUGUCCGCACUAAGUUCAGCAUCAAUACAGCGAUCUUCUGGGAGUGGGGGACCACCAGGUUGCCUCAGGAAGGGUGAACCGGCCCAGGUCGGAAACUCCCAUUCUGAUCAGUAGUAGGAUCACGCCUGUGAAUAGCCACUGCACUCCAGCCUGGGCAACAUAGUGAGACCCCAUCCCC